rnacentral:rRNA from 1 species
GAACCUAUAUAAGUAGGUAAUUUAUAUAACAUCAUAGCAGGUACAGAACUGCGGUCUUGACAACUUGCAUUCUAAAAGUUGCACUUUGGUCAUGCUUGGGGAUGUAAAAAUCUUACUGGCAAGUAUUUUAACUCGGAAGGGUUAUGAUGACUAUAUAAUAAUCAGACAUAGUACGCUAAGGUAGUUUGUCUAAAGGGAAACAGCCCAGAACAAGAGUUAAUAAGGUUCCAAAAUUUUUGUUAAGUGAAAAUAAGGUAGUUUCAAUCCAAUAUGCCCAGGAGAUAGGCUUAGAUGCGGCCAUUUUUUGAAGACCUCGUAACAGAGCACUGGAUGAGUAAAUUAUUUUUAUAAUUUAUAUUGAUAAAAGCACCCAAAAUUUAACGGAUCUAAACAAUAUACCGAGACCUUGUCCAUAUUUAUAUAUAUAUCUAAGUUGUAUAUAGUAUUUAUGGGGUAGCGGAACAUUGGGCAAAUAUAAGAUUUUUUCUUUUUAAGACUUAAGAUAAGAUAACCCAAGAGAUAAUGCUGACAUGAGUAACGAUAAAGGGAAUGAACUAUUCCCUCGCCUAAAACUUAUGGUAUUUACUUAAAGUAACGGCCUCUAAGUUUAUGAACCUAAAGGACUAAACGAUGAGAAAAUCUGCCACCCGGACCCGCACCCACGCCGGCGGAUAAAUAACCUUUUGCUAAAGUGGCAAGGUUCUGGAAAAUUUUAAGUGUUGCAUUAUGGAGAAUAGGGAAGACGCAAUCUCUUGCCUACCAUGGUGUAAAUAGACCGUACCUAGAUACUACCCCAAGUAAGUUAGUAGAGAAUACGAAGGCGUUUGAGUGAACAAUCAUUAAGA